rnacentral:rRNA from 1 species
AGUGAACGCUGGCGGUAGGCCUAACACAUGCAAGUCGAACGGCAGCACAGUAAGAGCUUGCUCUUACGGGUGGCGAGUGGCGGACGGGUGAGGAAUACAUCGGAAUCUACUUUUUCGUGGGGGAUAACGUAGGGAAACUUACGCUAAUACCGCAUACGACCUACGGGUGAAAGCAGGGGAUCUUCGGACCUUGCGCGAUUGAAUGAGCCGAUGUCGGAUUAGCUAGUUGGCGGGGUAAAGGCCCACCAAGGCGACGAUCCGUAGCUGGUCUGAGAGGAUGGUCAGCCACACUGGAACUGGGGCACGGUCCCGACUCCUACGGGAGGGAGCAGUGGGGAAUAUUGGACAAUGGGGGCAACCCUGAUCCAGCGCAGCCGCGUGUGGGAAGAAGGCCUUCGGGUUGUAAAACCCUUUUUGUGGGGAAAAAAAGCCAACGGCUAAUACCCCCGCUUUUUGAACGGACCCAAAGAAAAAGCCCCGGCUAACUCUGUG